rnacentral:rRNA from 1 species
GAACGAACGCUGGCGGCAUGCCUAACACAUGCAAGUCGAACGAGACCUUCGGGUCUAGUGGCGCACGGGUGCGUAACGCGUGGGAACCUGCCCUUAGGUUCGGAAUAACUCCCCGAAAGGGGUGCUAAUACCGGAUAAUGUCUUCGGACCAAAGAUUUAUCGCCUUUGGAUGGGCCCGCGUUGGAUUAGCUAGUUGGUAGGGUAAAAGCCUACCAAGGCGACGAUCCAUAGCUGGACUGAGAGGAUGAUCAGCCACACUGGGACUGAGACACGGCCCAGAGGCCGAGGGGAGGCAGGGGGGGGAAAGAUCCAACAAGCGGCCAGGGCAGGAGGAGGGAGGGCGGGUGAUGAGAGGAGGGCCGUAGGUUCAACCAACCCUUACAGGGGGGAUAAAAAGGGCAAGAGGGGGAGCAUCUCCUCCGGCGAACUCCGGGCAAGCAGCGGGGGUAAGAGAGGACGAGCACACCUUCCAAC